rnacentral:lncRNA from 1 species
GUAACAUCUCACUAAAAUACCACAAAGAGGUGCUGUAAACCCACAGUAGCUAUUGAGAGUAACUGCCAAGAACAGAUAGGACUGCUGUACGCUCGCCUUAAGGUCUGACAUUACUUGGAAGGCAGAGAAAAACCUCAUUGAUUCAGGGUCACAGAAUUGGGAGAAAAAGAAGUAUCAUGCUCUUCUCAAGAACUACUGCAGAAUUUUAAAGAUAUUUGGAACUCCUCAGAUACACAUAGCUGCUGGUAGAGCAAAGCCCACAGAAGAAGAGAGCUUUGCUGUAG